GACGAGGGGUCCUAGCGUUGUUCGGAAUCACUGGGCGUAAAGCGUUCGUAGGCGGCUCUAUAAGUCGGGUGUGAAAUCCCACGGCUCAACCGUGGAAGUGCAUUCGAAACUGCAGAGCUUGAAUAUGGUAGAGGGUAGUAGAAUUCCUGGUGUAGUGGUGAAAUACGUAGAUAUCAGGAGGAAUACCGGUGGCGAAGGCAGGUCUCUGGGCAUUAACUGACGCUGGAGGAGCGAAAAGCAUGGGGAGCGAACAGG
rnacentral:rRNA from 1 species